rnacentral:rRNA from 1 species
UUAAGUGUCGUGAGGGCAUUUGGUGGAUGCCUUGGCAUGCACAGGCGAUGAAGGACUGUGAUACGCUGCGAAAAGCCGUGGGGAGCUGCGAAUGAGCUUUGAUCCAUGGAUCUCC